CCGUAACUAUAACGGUCCUAAGGUAGCGAAAUUCCUUGUCGGGUAAGUUCCGACCUGCACGAAUGGCGUAAUGAUGGCCAGGCUGUCUCCACCCGAGACUCAGUGAAAUUGAACUCGCUGUGAAGAUGCAGUGUACCCGCGGCAAGACGGAAAGACCCCGUGAACCUUUACUAUAGCUUGACACUGAACAUUGAGCCUUGAUGUGUAGGAUAGGUGGGAGGCUUUGAAGUGUGGACGCCAGUCUGCAUGGAGCCGACCUUGAAAUACCACCCUUUAAUGUUUGAUGUUCUAACGUGGACCCGUUACCCGGGUUGCGGACAGUGUCUGGUGGGUAGUUUGACUGGGGCGGUCUCCUCCUAAAGAGUAACGGAGGAGCACGAAGGUUGGCUAAUCCUGGUCGGACAUCAGGAGGUUAGUGCAAUGGCAUAAGCCAGCUUGACUGCGAGCGUGACGGCGCGAGCAGGUGCGAAAGCAGGUCAUAGUGAUCCGGUGGUUCUGAAUGGAAGGGCCAUCGCUCAACGGAUAAAAGGUACUCCGGGGAUAACAGGCUGAUACCGCCCAAGAGUUCAUAUCGACGGCGGUGUUUGGCACCUCGAUGUCGGCUCAUCACAUCCUGGGGCUGAAGUAGGUCCCAAGGGUAUGGCUGUUCGCCAUUUAAAGUGGUACGCGAGCUGGGUUUAGAACGUCGUGAGACAGUUCGGUCCCUAUCUGCCGUGGGCGCUGGAGAACUGAGGGGGGCUGCUCCUAGUACGAGAGGACCGGAGUGGACGCAUCACUGGUGUUCGGGUUGUCAUGCCAAUGGCACUGCCCGGUAGCUAAAUGCGGAAGAGAUAAGUGCUGAAAGCAUCUAAGCACGAAACUUGCCCCGAGAUGAGUUCUCCCUGAGACUUAGAGUCUCCUGAAGGAACGUUGAAGACGACGACGU
rnacentral:rRNA from 1 species